rnacentral:rRNA from 1 species
UACGUAGGGGGCAAGCGUUGUCCGGAAUCAUUGGGCGUAAAGAGCGUGUAGGCGGUUCGGUAAGUCUGCUGUGAAAGUCCAGGGCUCAACCCUGGAAUGCCGGUGGAUACUGUCGAGCUAGAGUCCGGAAGAGGCGAGUGGAAUUCCUGGUGUAGCGGUGAAAUGCGCAGAUAUCAGGAGGAACACCAAUGGCGAAGGCAGGUCUCUGGGCCGAUACUGACGCUGAGGAGCGAAAGCGUGGGGAGCGAACAGG